CCUCAAACCGAAGAUUUCUCUCAAAUCUCUCUUCCCACCGAUUUUCACCCUUCAAAUCGCCCAUUUAAGAACCAACUUUCUCUCUUCUUUCUUCCUUGUUUGGGUGGUUCGAGCUUGCCCUAGAUUCUACCUCUCUUCUCCAAAUUGGCACUUCACCUCUCCAAAAUCUUGGCUUUUCCACUAGAAUCUUUUCCUCUCUACCUCAUUUAGUCUCCUAAACUCCUUGC
rnacentral:lncRNA from 1 species